UGAAUAGAUACAGAAGAGGGGUGAAUAAAUGUUGGGAAAAUGUUCUAACAUCUAUUCACCCCAUUUCUGUAUUUAUUCACCC
rnacentral:precursor_RNA from 1 species